rnacentral:rRNA from 1 species
GCCGGUGAUUAUUGCGAAAGUGUUAUACCCGAUCCCAUUCCGAACUCGGAAGUCAAGCCUUUCUGCGCUGAUGGUACUUUGUCUUAAGAUAUGGGAGAGUAAGUCGUCGCCGGCU